AAGCGCGCGCCGCAAUUGGACGGCAGCCUCACGUGACGCGGCGCUCCCGUGACGCGGCUCCCGCAGGCCCCUUGGGAAUCGCCCCCUGGCGCCUCGGAGGGGACAGGCCAGGGGGCGUGGCAGGGCCCUUGGGCGGUGGCGGCCUCCUGCCUAACCUGUAGUAGGUUUGUGCUCGGAGGGGGGUGGGGGGGGCACGUUGGGACCCGAGGCCUGAGGCCAGGCCGGGUACUGUGGACUCUGUGGUAGAAGCCUGAGGACCGCCGGUCCGAGGGAUGCCUCGGCAGGGGGCGCUGGGGACCUCCAGACCCAGAAAGAUGGGAGAGCCCCAGAUGGGGACACGCGCAUCACAGAAAACCAAGAAACUACGGAUCCGCGAUGAGAGGAAGAUAAUCAUCCAUAAUCGUGCCACGCAGGGCCAACGUGACUUCUAAUCUCCUGUUGCACUUACAUAAGUUUAAAAUGUUUCCAUGUAAAAAGUACAUUUCCUUGAAAAUAAACUGUUGUUGAAAUGUAUAAAGUACUAUUUCCACUCUCCAGGAAAAUCACUGGCAAUAGAGCAUUUUUCUAUAAGUCUAUUUGGUUAUAUAGAGUUAAAAUGUUUUAAAAAUUAUAGAAUAUGGAUAUGGCUUU